GACGAACGCUGGCGGCGUGCUUAACACAUGCAAGUCGAACGGAAAGGCCCUGCUUUUGUGGGGUGCUCGAGUGGCGAACGGGUGAGUAACACGUGAGUAACCUGCCCUUGACUUUGGGAUAACUUCAGGAAACUGGGGCUAAUACCGGAUAGGAGCUGCUGCUGCAUGGUGGGGGUUGGAAAGUUUCGGCGGUUGGGGAUGGACUCGCGGCUUAUCAGCUUGUUGGUGGGGUAGUGGCUUACCAAGGCUUUGACGGGUAGCCGGCCUGAGAGGGUGACCGGGCACAUUGGGACUGCGAUACGGCCCAGACUCCUACGGGAGGCAGCAGUGGGGAGUAUUGCACAAUGAGCGGAAGCCUGAUGCGGCGGCGCCGCGUGCGGGAUGACGGCCUUCGGGUUGUAAACCGCUUUCGCCUGUGACGAAGCGUGAGUGACGGUAAUGGGUAAAGAAGCACCGGCUAACUACGUG
rnacentral:rRNA from 1 species